rnacentral:rRNA from 1 species
AGUGAACGCUGGCGGUAGGCCUAACACAUGCAAGUCGAACGGCAGCUCAGUAAGAGCUUGCUCUUACGGGUGGCGAGUGGCGGACGGGUGAGGAAUACAUCGGAAUCUACUUUUUCGUGGGGGAUAACGUAGGGAAACUUACGCUAAUACCGCAUACGACCUACGGGUGAAAGUAGGGGAUCUUCGGACCUUGCGCGAUUGAAUGAGCCGAUGUCGGAUUAGCUAGUUGGCGGGGUAAAGGCCCACCAAGGCGACGAUCCGUAGCUGGUCUGAGAGGAUGAUCAGCCACACUGGAACUGAGACACGGUCCAGACUCCUACGGGAGGCAGCAGUGGGGAAUAUUGGACAAUGGGCGCAAGCCUGAUCCAGCCAUACCGCGUGGGUGAAGAAGGCCUUCGGGUUGUAAAGCCCUUUUGUUGGGAAAGAAAAGCAGCAGGUUAAUACCCCGCUGUUCUGACGGUACCCAAAGAAUAAGCACCGGCUAACUUCGUG